CCUGAAACACAAGACAAACGACUUUCAUUCCUCAUGGCUCCUGAGUCCAGUACUGCCCUGGGCCUAGAGGGACGGGUUCAGAUGCCUAAAGGAAAAUGGUGGGUCAAACGGAAAGAAGCUGCUGCAUAUCUCUACCCACCGCUCUCCAACGCUUCAUCCAUCACUGGGCAGGAGCCCGAGGUGCCAAGCUGAAUCACCCAACCUGAGCUGGUGCCAGAGGCCAAGGGUGAUGGUUAUGAAGGAGGAAUUUUCCUCCCGGGGCCCACAGGCAAUUUAAGCAAGCCUAUCCCUCCGAGGAGAGCACACACCCCGGCGCCGAAUGCUACCUGGAUCCGGCCCAGGAACUCACCGAAACAUGAGCAGUCCGGCAAUGAUAAGGAGGCAGACCGAAGACAGCACCACGGCCACCACCGCCAGGGCCGUGGUGUGAUCGUAGCCGUACAAGCGAUUUUCCACCGGCAGGAUCAGCCCGUGGCACCUCUCCCCAUGAAGGAAAAAUGUUUCUUCCAUCCCAACUCCUCAAGCUACUUUCAGGGACAAGAGUUGCGGGGACUUCGACAUGACAGCAGAUCUGGGGAGGUGGAGGGAGGCAGAGAGACGGGAGGGAUCUUAGGAGUUUA